rnacentral:rRNA from 1 species
UACAGAGGGUGCAAGCGUUAUCCGGAAUGAUUGGGCGUAAAGCGUUUGUAGGUGGUUCGUAAAGUCUAAUGUUAAAUACCAGGGCUCAACCUUGGAUCGGCAUUGGAGUACUCACGAACUUGAGUGCGGUAGAGGUAGAGGGAACUCCAUGUGGAGCGGUGAAAUGCGUAGAGAUAUGGAAGAACACCAGCGGCGAAGGCGCUCUACUGGGCCGAGACUGACACUGAGAAACGAAAGCUGGGGGA